GAACUUUCCAGAGAUGGAUUGGUGCCUUCGGGAACUUAGAUACAGGUGCUGCAUGGCUGUCGUCAGCUCGUGUCGUGAGAUGUUGGGUUAAGUCCCGCAACGAGCGCAACCCUUUUCCUAUUUGCCAGCGGGUCAUGCCGGGAACUUUAAGGAUACUGCCAGUGACAAACUGGAGGAAGGCGGGGACGACGUCAAGUCAUCAUGGCCCUUACGGCCAGGGCUACACACGUGCUACAAUGGUCGGUACAAAGGGUUGCUACCUCGCGAGAGGAUGCUAAUCUCAAAAAGCCGAUCGUAGUCCGGAUCGCAGUCUGCAACUCGACUGCGUGAAGUCGGAAUCGCUAGUAAUCGCGGAUCAGAAUGCCGCGGUCGAAUACGUUCCCGGGCCUUGUACACACCGCCCGUCACACCAUGGGAGUUUGUUGCACCAGAAGUAGGUAGUCUAACCGCAAGGAGGACGCUUACCACGGUGUGGCCGAUGACUGGGGUGAAGUCGUAACAAGGUAAGCGUAGAUGA
rnacentral:rRNA from 1 species